AUUAAUAUCUGGGACAUUGCAGCAAGCGGUGAAGGCCUUCAAAAAAGCAUGUUAAGACAUAUAAUAUAGUGACUAAUAAAAUGCCAUCAGUGACACUUCUAAAUAAGUGAUAUGAAAUACAUCCGGAACACAUCUUGGUGGGUUUGUCUACGAUAAUUUCGAUUCCCGAUAUCUCACCUCUCUACACUACGUCCAACACUCCCCUCAGCUGUGUGAAGAGAAAGACCGUUGUUCCCUUGUCGUCGGCCCCCACACUGAUUCAGAUUGGGGAGGGUGAGCUGCGCUGGAAUGUUGCUCCGAUGGCCCCUAUCUGAUACGGGCCGCUCCGUAUCGUCGAGAAGUGAGCAGCGCUGGCGUUCCACGCCGGUGUUGACAGAGGAAAAGAGAGGGAAUCCCUAUCUCUCCUAUAACAUAGUGCCUAAAUUGGGUUUGUUUAUAAAGCUGAUUAAGUCUAUAAUAAUUUCGAUUCCUGAUUCUUACCUCUCUACACUACGCUUCCCCGGUGUCGACGGUAGCUCUAUCUCUCCUCGGGCACGUUGGGUCGGUCUCAUCAAAUGGUCCCACAGCCAGGAUAUUCUCAUCAAAUGGUCCCACAGCCAGUAGUCUUCUUUGCCCCGACGGGCUACGACACGCAUCUCUGUAGCGUGUUGGAGAGAGGAUGUCCUAAUUUUUCUAAGUCCGAAAGUACUGAGAUCGGAUGUUCUAAUCUCUCUAAGUCCGAAAGUACGGAGAUCGGAUGUUCCAAGUUUUCUAAGUCCAAAAGUCGGGAGAUCGGAUGCUCUAAUUUCUCUAAGUCCGAAAGUACGGAGAUCGGAUGUUCCAAGUUUUCUGAGUUUUCUAAGUUUUCUAAGUCCAAAAGUCCGGAGAUCGCAAAGGGCCCAGGGCCGCCCCCCAUGGAGCCCCCGUCGGGACGAUGUCUCUAUCUCUCUGCUUCCUACAGCGCCUUUUAUCUAAAACUUUCACUGUCAGCCCCGCCCUCUCUCUUACCCAUGCAGCUGGCCAUCAGGUCACUCUGACCUGGUAUUUUUCCACCGCGCCAUGGCAAAGAUUCUCUCAGGCACCCCCGCCCUCUCUCUUACCCAUGCAGCUGGC
ensembl:lncRNA